UACAGAGGGUGCUAGCGUUGUCCGGAAUCAUUGGGCGUAAAGGGCGCGUAGGUGGCCCGGUCAGUUCGUGGUGAAAGCGCGGGGCUCAACCCUGCGUCGGCCAUGAAUACUGCCGCGGCUGGAGCACUGUAGAGGCAGGCGGAAUUCCGGGUGUAGCGGUGGAAUGCGUAGAGAUCCGGAAGAACACCGGUGGCGAAGGCGGCCUGCUGGGCAGUGGCUGACACUGAGGCGCGGACAGCGUGGGGAGCAACAGG
rnacentral:rRNA from 1 species